GAUGAACGCUGGCGGCGUGCCUAAUACAUGCAAGUCGAGCGAACGGACGAGAAGCUUGCUUCUCUGAUGUUAGCGGCGGACGGGUGAGUAACACGUGGAAAACCUACCUAUAAGACUGGGAUAACUUCGGGAAACCGGAGCUAAUACCGGAUGAUAUUUUGAACCGCAUGGUUCAAAAGUGAAAGACGGUCUUGCUGUCACUUAUAGAUGGAUCCGCGCUGCAUUAGCUAGUUGGUAAGGUAACGGCUUACCAAGGCAACGAUGCAUAGCCGACCGGAGAGGGUGAUAGGCCACACUGGAACUGAGACACGGUCCAGACGCCUACGGGAGGCAGCAGUAGGGAAUCUUCCGCAAUGGGCGAAAGCCUGACGGAGCAACGCCGCGUGAGUGAUGAAGGUCUUCGGAUCGUAAAACUCUGUUAUUAGGGAAGAACAUAUGUGUAAGUAACUGUGCACAUCUUGACGGUACCUAAUCAGAAAGCCACGGCUAACUACGUG
rnacentral:rRNA from 1 species